ACUUGCUUGACACGCGGCCACCGUGCACUACAUGCUGUACAGGACCUCAGCUCCACAUAUAUAUGUUCACGCGCGCCGGGCCUGCCAUGCACUGCGCCGCACCUCCCGCAGGUGAGGAGUUCGACCUUUGACCUUUGGUGAAACGACAGAGUGUGUCUGCUCAUUACCGUGAACUUCUGUGUUGGAAUUCUGUGACAUAAAAUAGAGAAUCAUCUGAGUGCUUCACUUCAGAAUAGAGCCAGGCCGAAAGAGACACAAGAAAAUGGAAACCAUCUCUUCUGUCUUCAGACAUUCUUUCAGGAGACAAUCCAUCACAUCUCCAAACACCGACAUUGCAGCUACUGCAACUUCUACCAUAGACACCAACAACAACAGCCCUAUUAUCAUCAGGAAGAAGUCAUGCACUUGCUGUGGCAUUUGUGGCAAGCGACUGCUGAAACUUGCAAAAUGGAGCAACUAUAUCACCAUACCAUGCAAAAGUCGACAUGUCUUCUGUAAGGAAUGUUUUAAUGAACGUCUGAAAACUCGUCAGAAGGUCCUGACCUCUUUGUCCUUUGACCUCAUGUGGACCUUUCCCUGCCCAGGACAUGACGAGUGUGGUCAGGAAAUCUCUGUUGAUUGGUCCAGAGGGAGUCGAUUCUCAAGGAACCUAGUGGCACGAAACAUGGUCGAGGAGGAGGAUGUCGAGUUUAUUUUGGAACCGGAGAACACAAGUGAAGAGAGCUUUGACCAGGACACUAGUGGCCAGCUUGAUCUGGGUUAAGUGUCAGGACAUUGCCAUUGGAAUGGAACUGCUGAAAUGAUCUUGAUGAUGAGAAAGUAAGAAAGCUGAAACCAGGAUGUAAGCAACGUGUUUGAGCUUUUCCAAGUGUUGAUGUCGCUACCAAGACUGAGAAGAAAGCUUCAGCAAAAGUGAAGAUUCCUGGUGUCUUGCUGAAAAUCAGUGAUGGGAUUGACCACAGGGUAGGACUUACAAAUCUUCUGAACUCUCCCUGCUGAUGGCCAGUUUGAAAUCAAGUUCCAUCAAUUAUUCAGGCUGUACAAUUGGUGGAACAGCUUUGUCAGCUCAUUUGUGGAGAAGCAUUCAGAAAAGGUUGUGGACCUUUUGGUUUUGAAUCUCAGGAAGAUCAGAGAUACUGAGACAAUCUUAUUGCUGAACCCAUUUUCUUCCCUUUCUUUUGUGUUUUGUAGAACUGUGCCACGAGGAGAAGAAAUGGUUUGUGAUUCAGAUGAUCUGUCAUAAAAUGGUUAUUGAAUUUCCUUAAUAUUUAUUUUUUUCGGGUAUUUUCUUAAACUACUUGGCUGUGUCUUGUAUGGAACAUUGAAUACAGCAGGUCUUAUAAGAGGAAGAAGGGAGAAGAGGAAAACCGAGUAGUUAGAGCACAGGCAUUCAAACCGAGAGCACGCUGGUUCAAUACCCAUUUAACGCAGAAAACUUCUCCCAGUCGAUGCAGCUUAGGGGAAUUGAGUACCUGACUCCUUAGAUGGUUGGGUAAGGUAAAGCAGUGAGGGAGAGGAGAUGGCACUGCCCUCUCAUGAAGCUGGCGCCAAGAAAAGGUAUAAUACCUCACCCACCAACGACAUGAAAAGUUUAGGGGAUGACUUAUGGGGAAGCCGUGUUUAUUUAGCCAGCUUUUAUAAAAGAGUUUUUUGUACUGCAAAGCUUGACCAUUAUUUCACAAGACUUCUGCAGCAGAUCUGGUUUUUCACCAGCAUAAAUCCAUUUUUAUGAACUCCACAAAGCUUGUUGAUAUGCAUAUAUUUAUCUCGGUAGGCAGUCUUUGAUUCAUCUUUACAUCAGUUAUUUAUGAUUUAACUUCUUGUUAACAAAUUGAUUUUGCCUGGAUCGUAAUGAAGUUAAGAAAUUUUAUUCUGUUUAGCAUUGAUGGUUGCCGGAUAUUUGUGGUAGAAAUGGAUGUCCCGCUUUUAAAGGUUCUCUGCUCCUUGCAUCAAAGUCCCUCUAGGGCAGUGGUUCUUAACCUUGUUUGAGGUACCGAACCCACAAGUUUCAUACGCACAUUCAUCGAACCCUUCUUUAGUGUCAUCACAAAUUGCGGGUGUGUCUUGACCUCCGUGGCAGAGGCUCCACCGAACCCCUGAGACUGACUCACCGAACCCCUUAGUGUUCGAUCGAACCCUGGUUAAGAACCACUGCUCAUGUGUGAGAGGCAAGAAGAACACUAGGGAAAAAUUCAUUGAGAGUGAGAUUAAGAAAUUCUUUAGGAAAAUCUAUGAGCACUUCGUCAGAAAAUGGGAAAAAAGUUUUAAACAUGAGUGUUUAGCAUAUAAAUUUUGAUUUCCAUCUUCAAAUAUUUUUCAUCGAGAAUGUAGCAAGUUACAUUUUUAUUAUUUUCAUAAUAGUCCGAUUGUGCUUAAUUUGCUUGGUGCUGAGAAUUUUAGGGUAAAACAAAUCUUCAGAAUCUGCUGACAAGCAAUAAGCAACACAAAGGACUACAUACUAAAUUUAGUUUUAUUAAAAAUUUUGUAAAAGUUGUGCUGAAAAGAUUUUAAUAGCUGUUUCAUCUCUUGCGAACACUAAUGGUUCAAGCAUCUAGUUUGUGCAUUUAUCAUGAAGGGAAUGGAAGUAUAACUGAGGACUUGUGGGAGUGAUAGUUGAUGAUCUGCCAGUUUUGCUUUUGAGACAUCUCGGCUUCUGCUUCAAUUGAGCCACAUCUUUUUCACGAUACAUUUUCCCAUUUUUAAAAUACUUUAAAAAAAAAUUCUUUUGACAGUUUCUGCAAACAAGUUUUACAUUCCAUGUUGACAAAUAUGAAUCUGCUCCAAUUUGUGCAUGCACGAAUUAAUAUCCCAUCUAUGUCCAUGUGUUUCUUUUCAGUAGUAAAAGUGCUCAUAAAUUUCAGAGGUGGUUAGGCUCCAGAGAUACUUUUAUGAACAAAAUGUGAUUACUUCGCCAAUUCACUAUUUGGAUACUUUUCUGCUUAAAUUGCAUAGUGUGCCCUCUACAUUUGUUAAAUCAAGGAACAGAAAGUUCUAAUAUUUUGCUGUCAUUUGUCAGAGUAGGAAGCCUUGGUCCCAGAUGUACUUGGCUUGCAAAAUCAUCGCAGAUUUGUGGAUGAUAAACUGUUACAUGGGUGAAAUGAGUUGCCACUAACAGAAUCAUUGUCUUUGAAGUGUAUGUUUGACUUUAGAUGGCUGUCAUUUUUUCUUAGGCAAAUCUCUUGGAAGUAUCAGUGCAUAUCAGAACAGACUUGCUAGGUGUCAUAUGCUGUGCCUGACCGUCCAGGUGUAAUUAAGCAGCAGGUUUUUGGUAUUAUUGUUUGUACAGUAUUUAAUACAAUCUGAAUGUUGCAUGGCCUUGGUCAUCUUUUAACAUUUUCAAAAAUUAUCUGUUCUUGUAUUCUUGGGACAUCUUCGUCUUGAUGAAAAAGCAUUGGAGCACUGAAAAGGGAUUGCUUUAUUCAUUGAUCUGAUGUUAUUAACUGGGAGGCUUGUCCUUGUGACAUUUUUUGCCAUGCUUUUCCAGUUAAAUGGGAUUUGGGAAAGAGAGACAACUGCAUGACAUUCAUGUAAUUGUGAGUAUUAAAAAUAAACCCUGAUAAAGUGGUGACUGCGUGCAUGCUGCACCUUGUGUUGUCAUGCUCAGGAAUUGUUUAAAAAUCAUGACAGCUGUUUUUGCCAUUGGUUUGUUUAUUGUUACAGCUAUAUUUUAUACUGUAUGGAAAGCAAAUAAAAUUGCAUAAAUUUU
rnacentral:lncRNA from 1 species